rnacentral:lncRNA from 1 species
CUGCGCGCAAUGGCCCCGAGAAUGCGGAUCUGUUUAGUUGUUAAAGUCAGCGCAGCUCCGUAUAACUGCCGCUUUCUUUCGACGAGCAGCCAGAUACAACGCGACAGUUAAUCUAAGCCGCUGGCUGUGCUCGAACGCCCGACGGAAAAGGCUAAAUAACAGCUAUGGUAGUUGUUUCAGCAGCGAACGGCAGGCGAUAUGGCAACGAAAUAACAGCACGUAACGGCAACGGAACACUGAAAUCUUGACUGCUGCAAGUGCGAUCGAGCCGUUUGGUGUAUCGCAAGGAAAGUGAAAUUUUUAGGUGGCCUCUGGAAGUCAACGCGUACGUUUGCAUCAACCUCCAAGCAGAUUAUGCUACAUCGAAGGACACAUGUUUUUGAAAAAACACUACUGAUAUUUAUCUUCCCGCACGUACGUGGCGAUCGAAGGCCUUGCAUUUGUUCAGGCAACUGUUCCUGGCAUGAACGUGCGUCGUCAGCUGGUUCUCGAUCACUAUUUUAACGCUAGAGCUCAAUAGCAGCGAUGGGCGAACAGCCGAAAACACGCAGUACACUAAGCAAACAUGUCAGCUCCCUUCGGGAUAUUCUUGCCUCAACACUGAGAAGAGUCCCUUUAGCCCCCAAGCCGCCGCAGAAGCACCGUUCAUCUUUUGAGGUCGGAUAUGUUGUCCUGCCAACGAGCCUUUUCUAUCUCAAAGUUAAGGAAAAUGAGGAAUCGGACAAGGAGAGUUCUAUGGAAGGCCAACAGCGUCAAAUAACGGAGAAUGACUCUAUGUGAAGGUGUUUCUUUAAGGUUUACUUAGACGAUUUUAUAAGGCAGCAGUGGCAAUCGUUGCUAUGGAUCGACGCGAACAGAGAAUGAAACAAAGUAUUGUCGGACUCUAAGUACGCACUGCAUGGCACAUUGGUUUUUUUCCCCUUUACCCGUUGUGCAAAUGCUUUGUUUGUAGGGCGUCUCGAAAUUGUAUCGCUGACGUAUAGAACAUAAAAUGUUGUUACGUUAAGAAUUUUUGAGAGAGAUUAUAUUAUCCCUUGACUAUCCCAUUGGUAAGGGUAUAGGGAUAAUCAAGUUUUGUGACUAACGCUGGACUGUAUAUAUUUGUACGUAUGUUGUUCAAGUGUCAAUCUAAUUCACCCUGAAACUUACAGAUUUUUUUAGAAAACAACAUAUAACUGUACUCAGGUGCAUUUCCAGAUAGACAGUUGUGGACAAUGCCCGUGGAAGCAAAUGAGACCGCGAAUUCUAAUAUAUUCCAUUUCAUCAUUAACAGUAGUAGUUACCAUACCAAUCGAAAAGCACGAUUUUUACAAUUAAAUAAAUCUUUUCUAAUUAAAUUUUUAUUUAUUGCUAUAUAAAUGAAUUAAUUUAUUAGAUUAAGAAAAAAUUAUUACGUGGAACAAUUGAAUUAUUCAGUUUGUGUCGACAGCUUUGAAGACGGCUUCUAACUGCUAGUGCUAUGCACUUCCGUCUAUGACGUGUAGUCCUAAAGUUCUAAUAAAAAUGAAAGUCUCCGGGAAGAUUUGUGUAGUCGAAAAUGGGUGUUCUUUAAUAUUUAAUGCG